CCCGAAGAUAGAAGGCCAGCCUGCCCAGUGACUCCUGUUCAACGGCCGCGGUAUCCUAACCGUGCGAAGGUAGCGUAAUCACUUUGUUCUUUAAAUGUGGACUAGUAUGAAUGGCACCACGAAGGUUAUACUGUCUCCUUUUUCUAAUCAGUGAAACUAAUCUCCCCGUGAAGAAGCGGGGAUAAAGCUAUAAGACGAGAAGACCCUAUGGAGCUUUAAACAACAUAGCACUUGCCACACACCAUUAAAAUUCCAGAAUCUUAAACUCUCUGAGCAAUAUGACUAUAAGUUUUUGGUUGGGGUGACCGCGGAGCAUAACACAACCUCCAUGUUGAAAGAAUCAUUUUCUAAGCUAAGAACUACAACUCUAAGCAUCAACAUAUUGACAUCCAUUGACCCAAUACACUUGAACAACGAACCAAGUUACCCUAGGGAUAACAGCGCAAUCCACUUCAAGAGCUCCUAUCGACAAGUGGGUUUACGACCUCGAUGUUGGAUCAGGGUUUCCCAGUGGUGCAGCCGCUACUAAAGGUUCGUUUGUUCAACGAUUAAAACCCUACGUGACGAGGAAAAC
rnacentral:rRNA from 1 species